UAGUUCUGGGGAAGGGAUUACGUGGAUCGUCCUGGCAGACAGCCAACAAGGAUUACAUUGAAGCUGGAGAAAAAAAAUCUAUCCUCACGUGAUCUCAGCUGAAAUCCCUGCCACUGACUUGUGCGUGGUGGGCUGGCUCUGCCCAGAGUGACUGCCUGAUGUCUGGUAUGUGCUGUGGAAGGAUGCUUCCUUAUCUUCCCUUUGCAGCUGAACCUGAGCCGGCCAAUUGAGGAGCAGGGCCCCCUGGAUGUCAUCAUCCACAAGCUGACCGAUGUCAUCCUCGAGGCUGACCAGAAUGACAGCCAGUCCCUGGAAUUGGUGCACAGGUUCCAAGAGUACAUCGAUGCUCACCCUGAGACCAUCGUCCUGGACCCCCUUCCCGCCAUCAGGACCCUGUUAGACCGCUCCAAGUCCUACGAGCUCAUCCGCAAGAUCGAGGCCUAUAUGAAAG
rnacentral:lncRNA from 1 species